AAGCAUAAACACGCCAACCAGAUGCCGAUAAACCGACAAAACCUCAGCCACUUAAUUCACAACUUAAUUCACAAGUGCACCCGUUAAGUAAAUUACCGGGGAAGGACGGAUUGCCUGUUUGACAGGUACAUGAAGUCAUGUAUAGGUGCUGUAUACUGGACGCUAACUGGACCUGGUUAGGUGUAAC
rnacentral:misc_RNA from 1 species